rnacentral:rRNA from 1 species
GGGUUGUGAGGUUAAGCGACUAAGCGUACACGGUGGAUGCCCUGGCAGUCAGAGGCGAUGAAGGACGUGCUAAUCUGCGAAAAGCGUCGGUAAGGUGAUAUGAACCGUUAUAACCGGCGAUGUCCGAAUGGGGAAACCCAGUGCAAUUCGUUGCACUAUCGUUAACUGAAUACAUAGGUUAACGAGGCGAACCGGGGGAACUGAAACAUCUAAGUACCCCGAGGAAAAGAAAUCAACCGAGAUUCCCCCAGUAGCGGCGAGCGAACGGGGAGCAGCCCAGAGUCUGAAUCAGCUUGUGUGUUAGUGGAACGGUCUGGAAAGUCCGACGGUACAGGGUGAUAGUCCCGUACACCAAAAUGCACAGGUUGUGAACUCGAAGAGUAGGGCGGGACACGUGGUAUCCUGUCUGAAUAUGGGGGGACCAUCCUCCAAGGCUAAAUACUCCUGACUGACCGAUAGUGAACCAGUACCGUGAGGGAAAGGCGAAAAGAACCCCGGCGAGGGGAGUGAAAAAGAACCUGAAACCGUGUACGUACAAGCAGUGGGAGCACCUUCGGGUGUGACUGCGUACCUUUUGUAUAAUGGGUCAGCGACUUAUAUUCUGUAGCAAGGUUAACCGUAUAGGGGAGCCGCAGGGAAACCGAGUCUUAACUGGGCGUUAAGUUGCAGGGUAUAGACCCGAAACCCGGUGAUCUAGCCAUGGGCAGGUUGAAGGUUGGGUAACACUAACUGGAGGACCGAACCGACUAAUGUUGAAAAAUUAGCGGAUGACUUGUGGCUGGGGGUGAAAGGCCAAUCAAACCGGGAGAUAGCUGGUUCUCCCCGAAAGCUAUUUAGGUAGCGCCUCGUGAACUCAUCUUCGGGGGUAGAGCACUGUUUCGGCUAGGGGGUCAUCCCGACUUACCAACCCGAUGCAAACUACGAAUACCGAAGAAUGUUAUCACGGGAGACACACGGCGGGUGCUAACGUCCGUCGUGAAGAGGGAAACAACCCAGACCGCCAGCUAAGGUCCCAAAGUCAUGGUUAAGUGGGAAACGAUGUGGGAAGGCACAGACAGCCAGGAUGUUGGCUUAGAAGCAGCCAUCAUUUAAAGAAAGCGUAAUAGCUCACUGGUCGAGUCGGCCUGCGCGGAAGAUGUAACGGGGCUAAACCAUGCACCGAAGCUGCGGCAGCGACACUAUGUGUUGUUGGGUAGGGGAGCGUUCUGUAAGCCUGCGAAGGUGUGCUGUGAGGCAUGCUGGAGGUAUCAGAAGUGCGAAUGCUGACAUAAGUAACGAUAAAGCGGGUGAAAAGCCCGCUCGCCGGAAGACCAAGGGUUCCUGUCCAACGUUAAUCGGGGCAGGGUGAGUCGACCCCUAAGGCGAGGCCGAAAGGCGUAGUCGAUGGGAAACAGGUUAAUAUUCCUGUACUUGGUGUUACUGCGAAGGGGGGACGGAGAAGGCUAUGUUAGCCGGGCGACGGUUGUCCCGGUUUAAGCAUGUAGGCUGGUUGUCCAGGCAAAUCCGGAUAAUCAAGGCUGAGGUGUGAUGACGAGGCACUACGGUGCUGAAGUAACAAAUGCCCUGCUUCCAGGAAAAGCCUCUAAGCAUCAGGUAACAUCAAAUCGUACCCCAAACCGACACAGGUGGUCAGGUAGAGAAUACCAAGGCGCUUGAGAGAACUCGGGUGAAGGAACUAGGCAAAAUGGUGCCGUAACUUCGGGAGAAGGCACGCUGGUGUGUAGGUGAAGUCCCUGCGGAUGGAGCUGAGACCAGUCGAAGAUACCAGCUGGCUGCAACUGUUUAUUAAAAACACAGCACUGUGCAAACACGAAAGUGGACGUAUACGGUGUGACGCCUGCCCGGUGCCGGAAGGUUAAUUGAUGGGGUUAUCCGUAAGGAGAAGCUCUUGAUCGAAGCCCCGGUAAACGGCGGCCGUAACUAUAACGGUCCUAAGGUAGCGAAAUUCCUUGUCGGGUAAGUUCCGACCUGCACGAAUGGCGUAAUGAUGGCCAGGCUGUCUCCACCCGAGACUCAGUGAAAUUGAACUCGCUGUGAAGAUGCAGUGUACCCGCGGCAAGACGGAAAGACCCCGUGAACCUUUACUAUAGCUUGACACUGAACAUUGAGCCUUGAUGUGUAGGAUAGGUGGGAGGCUUUGAAGCGUGGACGCCAGUCUGCGUGGAGCCAACCUUGAAAUACCACCCUUUAAUGUUUGAUGUUCUAACGUUGGCCCCUGACCGGGGUUGCGGACAGUGUCUGGUGGGUAGUUUGACUGGGGCGGUCUCCUCCCAAAGCGUAACGGAGGAGCACGAAGGUUAGCUAAUCCUGGUCGGACAUCAGGAGGUUAGUGCAAUGGCAUAAGCUAGCUUGACUGCGAGCGUGACGGCGCGAGCAGGUGCGAAAGCAGGUCAUAGUGAUCCGGUGGUUCUGAAUGGAAGGGCCAUCGCUCAACGGAUAAAAGGUACUCCGGGGAUAACAGGCUGAUACCGCCCAAGAGUUCAUAUCGACGGCGGUGUUUGGCACCUCGAUGUCGGCUCAUCACAUCCUGGGGCUGAAGUAGGUCCCAAGGGUAUGGCUGUUCGCCAUUUAAAGUGGUACGCGAGCUGGGUUUAGAACGUCGUGAGACAGUUCGGUCCCUAUCUGCCGUGGGCGCUGGAGAAUUGAGGGGGGCUGCUCCUAGUACGAGAGGACCGGAGUGGACGCAUCACUGGUGUUCGGGUUGUCAUGCCAAUGGCACUGCCCGGUAGCUAAAUGCGGAAGAGAUAAGUGCUGAAAGCAUCUAAGCACGAAACUUGCCCCGAGAUGAGUUCUCCCUGAGACUUUAAGUCUCCUGAAGGAACGUUAAAGACGAUGACGUUGAUAGGCCGGGUGUGUAAGCGCAGCGAUGCGUUGAGCUAACCGGUACUAAUGAACCGUGAGGCUUAACCUUACAACGCCGAAGAUGGUUU